UACGAAGGGGGCUAGCGUUGCUCGGAAUCACUGGGCGUAAAGGGUGCGUAGGCGGGUCUUUAAGUCAGGGAUGAAAUCCUGGAGCUCAACUCCAGAACUGCCUUUGAUACUGAGGAUCUUGAGUUCGGGAGAGGUGAGUGGAACUGCGAGUGUAGAGGUGAAAUUCGUAGAUAUUGGGAAGAACACCGGUGGCGAAGGCGGCUCACUGGCUCAUUUCUGACGCUCAGGCGCGACAGCGUGGGGAUCAAACAGG
rnacentral:rRNA from 1 species